rnacentral:rRNA from 1 species
CCUACGGGGUGCAGCAGUGAGGAAUAUUGGUCAAUGGACGAGAGUCUGAACCAGCCAAGUAGCGUGAAGGAUGACUGCUCUAUGGGUUGUAAACUUCUUUUAUAUGGGAAUAAAAUGUUCCACGUGUGGGAUUUUGUAUGUACCAUAUGAAUAAGGAUCGGCUAACUCCGUGCCAGCAGCCGCGGUAAUACGGAGGAUCCGAGCGUUAUCCGGAUUUAUUGGGUUUAAAGGGAGCGUAGGUGGAUUGUUAAGUCAGAUGUGAAAGUUUGCGGCUCAACUGUAAAAUUGCAGUUGAUACUGGCGGUCUAGAGAGUAGUAGAGGUGGGCGGAAUUCGUGGUGUAGCGGUGAAAUGCUUAGAGAUCACGAAGAACUCCGAUUGCGAAGGCAGCUCACUAAACUACAACUGACGCUGAGGCUCGAAAGUGUGGGUAUCAAACAGGAUUAGAUACCCGUGUAGUC